AAUUGGGUCAUCCAGUGGCUGAAGUGGCCAAGACUUUCGAGUGCGUUCCCUACUGGCAAAUAGACGAAACACUGCUGGCCGUGGGCUAGGGCAAAUGGAAACUGGCUAUGCUGGAUCCCGAGAGCGAGACAAUCAUCUCUGAACUGAUCUACGAUGACGACGACAUCAAAGAAGGUGCAUAAAGCAGCGGAGCUACACCUGCAACGCCAACUCUUUAAAGGCCCAAUCGACCAUCGAUACCCAUUAGUACACGGAUGCACAGCUUUUGCUAUGAGCAAACAAAUACUCGUAAAAACGGAAGAGUGGAUCUGAGCCACACACACUGGGGG